CGACAGAGGAUGAUUUUGGAUUAGCAAUCUCACGACGGUCGUCUGAGGCGCGCAUUUGUGCCGGCUUUGAUGUUAUACUGAUCCGAUUUUCUGAUGUCU